UCAAGAAGAGAGUCGGCUUUCUA
rnacentral:piRNA from 1 species